AAUAUAAAUAGAGCCCCCAACGUUUUAGGCCCUCAUUUUCAUCAAUAUUAAACCCUAGAACAGCCCUUAUACUCUCCCAAAUUUAUUCUCCAUCAAUCACAACUAAGUUCAAAGGCAAAUCAAGUGAUUACAACAUAAGGAAUCACAUGACAAUCAUAGAAUCGUAGAUUUCUCGUUGUUUCGAUUUUCGGAAGAAAGCUUCAUCUUGAAAUAACUUAAGUUGCAGAGUAUUAUUCAACUUUUGAGGUAGUCGUUCAUAAGGUAUUCAAGGACCCGGAAGACGCGUAUAGCUCUAUCAACGAGGUGCUGAUAGACAGGCCGGCGUGCCUCCGCAGUAGGACACCGAGAUCAGCGGUUGAGUAUCGCACUCCACUUCUUCGCAGUUCUUGGUUGUGAGUCUAUAGGUACGUAUACAUAUGUAUAUGUAUAGUUU